rnacentral:tRNA from 2 species
GUCUUCGUGGUGUAGGGGAUAACACGCCUGGGUGCGGACCAGGAGAUCGCAGGUUCGAAUCCUGCCGAAGACG